UAAAUACUCCCUCCGUCCAAAAAUACUGGUCAUAGGAAUGGAUGUAUCUAUAUAUUUUUUAGUUCUAGAUACAUCUAUUUUGGUAAAUUUGUGCGACAAGUAAUUCUGGAUGGAGGGAGUAUAUG
rnacentral:pre_miRNA from 1 species